GACGAACCGUGCAAACGUUAUUCGGAAUCACUGGGCAUAAAGGGCGCGUAGGCGGCUUUCUAAGUCAGGGGUGAAAUCCGGCAGCUCAACUGUCGCAGUGCCUUUGAUACUAGAGAGCUCGAGGGAGGUAGGGGUCUGUGGAACUUCCGGUGGAGCGGUGAAAUGCGUUGAUAUCGGAAGGAACGCCGGUGGCGAAAGCGACGGACUGGAUCUCUUCUGACGCUGAGGCGCGAAAGCCAGGGGAGCAAACGGG
rnacentral:rRNA from 1 species